UUGCUUGGUAGGCCAAUAUUGAAGGGGAGGUUGUUGUUUAUUGUUUUGCGGCUCUUCUCCGGAUACAGUGCAGCGUCGCUCAGCCACAUAAUCUGCAUUUAAUAACGAAGGAAAUACAUUUUAACGCAUCCCAUCCAGGAGUUACCCUGACACCCGUCUUUAUCGAGUGUAAACCGCCUGGACACGGCCACCAUGAAAUGGAUGUUCAAAGAGGAUCACUCCUUGGAACAUCGAUGCAUAGAAUCGGCGAAAAUCCGCAACAAAUAUCCUGACAGGGUCCCGGUGAUUGUGGAGAAAGUAUCUGGAUCGCAGAUUGUGGACAUUGACAAGAGAAAGUACCUGGUCCCCUCUGACAUCACAGUGGCUCAGUUUAUGUGGAUCAUCAGGAAACGGAUCCAGCUACCCGCUGAGAAAGCGAUCUUCCUGUUCGUGAACAAGACAAUCCCUCAGUCCAGUAUCACAAUGGGGCAACUCUACGAAGACGAGAAGGACGAGGACGGCUUUUUAUACGUGGCAUACAGUGGAGAAAACACAUUUGGGUUGUAAACCAGGAAACCCACAUCCUUCUUGGCACCCAGCACAUUCAAUCACAGCCGGAUGCUGCCCUUGGAGAGAGACGGAUGAAGACGACUGAUGAGAUUCAAAGACUGACAACUGCUCACCAACUCCAGAAAAUGAGCAGCUGAGUUUGUUGUGGUUGUUCAAUGACAUUGUGAUCUGUGGUGAGAGCAGGGAGCAAUUGGAAGGUAAGCUACAGAGGUGGAGGUUUGCCUUAGAAAGGAGAGGAACGAAGGUUAGCCGCAGUAAGACAGAAUACAUGUGUGUGAAUGAGAGGGAGCCAAGUGGACAGGUGAAGUUACAGGAUCCAGAGAUAAAGAAGGUGGGGGAUUUGAAGUACUUAGACUCAACUGUCCAGAGCAAUGGAGGGUGUGAGAAAGAGGUGAAGAAGCGGGUGCAGGCAGGAUGGAAUAACUAGAGAAAAGUGUCAGGUGUGAUAAAGGGGUAUUGGCAAGGGACAAUGAAAGGGAAAGUGUGCACAACGGUGGUGAGGCCAGCAAUGUUGUAUGGUUUGGAAACAGUGGCACUGAGGAAAAGACAGGAGGCAGAGCUGGAGGUAGCAGAGAUGAAGAUGCUGAGGUUCUCUCUGGGAGUGAGCAGGGUGGAUAAGAUCAGGAAGCAGUAGAUCAGAGGGACAGCACAUGUCAGGUGUUCAGGAGACAAAGUCAGGGAGGCUAGAUGGAGAUGGUUUGGACAGAGGAGUGAUAGCCAGUACACUGGUAGGAAGAUGUUGAGGUUGGAACUGCCAGGCAGAAGGUGGAGAGGAAGGCCAAAGAGGAGAUUUAUGGAGGUGGUGAAGGAGGACAUGAGGUUUGUAGGUUUGAGAGAAGAGGAAGCAGAGUACAGGGUGAGAUGGAGGAAGAUGAUCUGCUGUGGCCACCCCUGAAGUGAGAAGCUGAUAGAAAAGGAAUAGCAAAAUGUAAGUAUUAUUUUUUCUUUUUCCUUCAGAUCUGCACGCCACUCUCGGUAUACAAUGUCGCCCCUUAAGUCAUUUAAUUGCCGACCCCUAACCGCUGGAAGGUUUUCCAAACUUGUUUAAAAUUUGAAUGUCGCCUGCAGCCAGAGCAGCCUCAUGUUUUUGAGACUGCGCCACAUAAUGACAUCACUUUUCUUUAACUUCCUUAUUUUUCAUCUUCAGAGGAAGUUGAGGUGCUGCUUCAUUGACGAAACUAAUUUUCACGCCUGUCUCUUCCUCAAAGUCAUUGUCAAAGCCAUAUUUCUUGUUUUGAAACAAAGCUUGAUUGGGCAAUGAUGCCACGUUUUUCAGCACGAACAGAGAAAUGCCACUCAUCAAUCGUUGCAGGCAGACGGUUCACUGCUCAGCAAGCAGAGAUUAGCCAAUAUUUAGAAGCAGGGCUGGGGGAGAAACGAUUCUCAAAUAUAUACCAAUUUAUUCAUGAUAAUACUAAAUGUAUAAAUAAUGUAUGUAGAAGUAGUUUUACACUUCUUACGAGAGAAUUGGCAGCCCUGUGCUAACAUGUUAGCGCUCUCUGCUAGCUGCUGCUCAGUAGAGCUCAGGAGGACUGUAGAUGGUGGAAUGUCACCAUCUGUGCGAUCGAUGUUCAACCUGGGCCGGUGCUGGGAAAGUCGUUGGAUAUUGGUUGGUUUUUCCUCCUUCUUUAAGCCACAGCACACUUUGUCCAUUGAAAAAAUGUCAAGGCUCAUCACUAAAGGAACCACGGCCAAAGCACAAUUGUGCUUAGUCGAAAGUCCUGUAUAAAAAUCCCUUUUAAUUUGGGAAUACUACUGUCUCUCGGCUAUUUUCGCAUGUUAUUUGCAGAAAAACAUAAUGCAGAAAUGUAUCCAGAAACGGGUUUGCAAUAUGGCCAAAAUAUUAUGAUUUAUUAAUUUAUUAAAUAUCUGUUUCAAUUUUAUCUGAUGUGUAUUUUUGAGAGUAACUUGCAGUCCUAAAGGAAAAACAAAAAUCUGACAUCAAACUUAGUUAGGGUAGUUUCCAGACAAAUCUUUUACAUUCUUUGCCUCACCUUGCUUCAGAACUACAAUUAUUCUUUCGCUCUUCACAUUUAGAAGCAAAUUUGAUUGGUUCUGCAUUCAGUUUUUCGCCAAUUUUAAACCACAGAGCAAAUUUUGAUAGUUUACGAUUACCAAUAAAGUUGUGAAGUUUUGAGUGAUGUUAGUUGUUAGCUCCGUUAGCACUGCCGUGCCGACAGUCUUUGGUGUCGCAGGUCUGACAAGGAUCGAUCCAUCAUUCUGUCGUAAAGGUGUGUGGUCAAGUUAGACGCAUCCGCUUUAAAAACAAUUCGCCGAAUUGCUGAAACAAUUUAGCCCCCAAAAUAGUACUGUCAGAACCUGUUCUGGCACCUAGUUAUUGCAGAUAAACUGCUUUGUGUUUUUAUAAUGAGUGAAUAAAAACAAAAAUCCAACCACGGUCAGCACUCUGACCAAAUAUCUGUGGGAAACUGUGAUGUGUUUAUUUGUGUUAUAAUUUAUUUUUAGAUUAAUAAAUGACAGUCACGAAAUACCUAGAAUAUCACAAUAUAAACUAGAAUCAAGAUAUAUAUCGAAUCAGGCCAUAUGCAUAUCGGCCUACAGUCCUACUUAGACGGAAUGAGAAACUUAAAUCUCUCACUUUUAAACAGCAAUUUAAAGAAACCAAUGUGUUCAUAAAUUUAGUGUAUUCGGUUUUGGAUUUCACCUGGACAAUAUUGGGAUGAUUGUCUCAACAGCAUCAGACUUUUGGGUGAAGUCAUUGGCGACUCGUCAAAAGGGGGAGCGGUAAAGGCCACCACAACAACAUUGCUGUGAGGAAACUAAAAAUAC